GGCGGUGGCGGCUCUUAAAGGGGAGGCCGCGGUGUCGGCGCGCCCCCCCAGCACCUGCUGUGGCUGGGCAUGCGCCUUCACCCUUAGUGCCCAGCCUGCCUCUAUAUCGCUAGAUCAUUUUCUUUGAGCUUCAAGGUGGAGGCGAAGCUCCCUGCGGGGACCCUUUUGGUUCCAUCCUUUUGACUUUAGCUUCGGCCCACCUCCGGCCCUGCCCACAUCAGGUUGAAGGCCUCAAGAUCCCACCAGGAGCAACAGCUGCUUUAGUGCUUAACUGCCAGGCCCUGUGCUUAGAGCUUUGUAUGUUAUUCCAUUGAAUCCUCACAGCUACCCUAUAAGGCAGAAGUUAUAGUUAACCCUCAUCUUGAAGGCUCCAGGAUGUCCACCUGGGCUCCCGGGCCAGGCGUAGCUGCACCUGUCCACUCCACGCCUCAUCAAUAACCGCCAAAUCCCAGGUAAAAGGGAAUUUGUCCACAUGGUUUGAUCGGACUUUUGGAUGGUAAAUUGUGCUAGGGUUAGGGAUAUGUGAAAUUUAAUUUCAUGGGGAGGGGAUAGGAGAGAGAGGAGUCUCAAGUCAGUAAAAAGUUCAGAGACCUCAGCUCCACCCCCAUCAGAAAGUACAAUUGGUAGUGGAUGUCCUAUUUUUGAAGACAUUUAUAUCCAGAAUGUAGGCUAGCUCGCCUCCUGAUUUUCACCAAAGCAACUACAUUCCAGAGCAGCCCCUCCACUGCCCUCCUUCCCCGUCCCAUUUUACAGCUGCUAUAUCCUGGCACCUUUAUGUUGAGGUAUAAUCCUUUUGGAGGACCACACUAUUAAAAUGUCCCAACCAGGCUGUAAGGGCAUGCUCAGAGUUCUGUAUUUCAAAGACUCAUACCCAAACCUA